CCUACGGGCGGCAGCAGUGAGGAAUAUUGGUCAAUGGGCGGAAGCCUGAACCAGCCAAGUAGCGUGCGGGAUGAAGGCCCUAUGGGUUGUAAACCGCUUUUGCACGGGGAUAACACCCUCCACUUGUGGAGGUUUGCAUGUACCGUGCGAAUAAGGGCCGGCUAAUUCCGUGCCAGCAGCCGCGGUAAUACGGAGGGCCCGAGCGUUAUCCGGAUUUAUUGGGUUUAAAGGGAGCGUAGGCGGGGGUUAAAGUCAGCUGGAAAAUUUCGCGGCUCAACCGCGCCCCGCAGUUGAAACUGGACGCCUUGAGUACACGAGAGGCAGGCGGAAUUCGUGGUGUAGCGGUGAAAUGCAUAGAUAUCACGAGGAACCCCGAUUGCGAAGGCAGCCUACCGGAGUGCGACUGACGCUGAGGCUCGAAGGUGCGGGUAUCAAACAGGAUUAGAUACCCUUGUAGUC
rnacentral:rRNA from 1 species